rnacentral:rRNA from 1 species
CAGCUCUCCGAGUGGUAGGGAUGAUUAUUGGGCUUAAAGCGUCCGUAGCCGGCUUAGCAAGUCUCCUGUUAAAUUCAGCGACCUAAUCGUUGAGCCGCGGGAGAUACUACCAGGCUAGGAGGCGGGAGAGGUCGACGGUACUUCUGGGGUAGGGGUGAAAUCCUAUAAUCCCAGGAGGACCACCAGUGGCGAAGGCUGUCGACUAGAACGCGCUCGACGGUGAGGGACGAAAGCUGGGGGAGCGAACCGGAUUAGAUACCCGAGUAGUCC